rnacentral:rRNA from 1 species
CUUUCUCCGCCGGCGACCGGCGCACGGGUGAGUAACACGUAUGCAACCUGCCCCUGUCAGGGGGACAACCCGCCGAAAGGCGGGCUAAACCCGCGUACAUGCCACCGGGGCAUCCCGGAGGCAGGAAAAGGCUUCGGCCGGACAGGGAUGGGCAUGCGGCGCAUUAGGCAGUAGGCGGGGUAACGGCCCACCCAACCGACGAUGCGUAGGGGUUCUGAGAGGAAGGUCCCCCACACUGGUACUGAGACACGGACCAGACUCCUACGGAAGGCAGCAG